AUUGAACGCUGGCGGCAGGCCUAACACAUGCAAGUCGAGCGGAUGAAGGGAGCUUGCUCCUGGAUUCAGCGGCGGACGGGUGAGUAAUGCCUAGGAAUCUGCCUGGUAGUGGGGGAUAACGUCCGGAAACGGGCGCUAAUGCCGCAUACGUCCUGAGGGAGCAAGUGGGGGAUCUUCGGACCUCACGCCUUCUGAUGAGCCUAGGUCGGAUUCGCUAGUUGGUGGGGUAACGGCCUACCAAGGCGACGAUCCGUAACUGGUCUGAGAGGAUGAUCAGGCACACUGGAACUGAGACACGGUCCAGACUCCUACGGGAGGCCGCAGUGGGGAAUAUUGGACGAUGGGCGAGAGCCUGAUCCAGCCCUGCCGCGUGUGUGAAGAAGGUCUUCGGAUUGUAAAGCACUUUAAGUUGUGAGGAUGGGCAGUAAGUUAACCCCUUGCUGUUUUGACGUUACCAACAGAAUAAGCACCGGCUAACUUCGUG
rnacentral:rRNA from 1 species